ACUCCUACGGGAGGCAGCAGUGGGGAAUAUUGGACAAUGGGGGCAACCCUGAUCCAGCCAUGCCGCGUGAGUGAUGAAGGCCCUAGGGUUGUAAAGCUCUUUUGUGCGGGAAGAUAAUGACGGUACCGCAAGAAUAAGCCCCGGCUAACUUCGUGCCAGCAGCCGCGGUAAUACGAAGGGGGCUAGCGUUGCUCGGAAUCACUGGGCGUAAAGGGUGCGUAGGCGGGUCUUUAAGUCAGGGGUGAAAUCCUGGAGCUCAACUCCAGAACUGCCUUUGAUACUGAGGAUCUUGAGUCCGGAAGAGGUGAGUGGAACUGCGAGUGUAGAGGUGAAAUUCGUAGAUAUUCGCAAGAACACCAGUGGCGAAGGCGGCUCACUGGUCCGGUACUGACGCUGAGGCACGAAAGCGUGGGGAGCAAACAGGAUUAGAAACCCGAGUAGUCCCAUGAU
rnacentral:rRNA from 1 species